rnacentral:rRNA from 1 species
AGUGAACGCUGGCGGCGUGCCUAACACAUGCAAGUCGAACGAUGAUGGAGGAGCUUGCUCUUCCUGAUUAGUGGCGCACGGGUGAGUAAUGCAUAGAUAAUGUGCCCCUUAGUUCGGGAUAGCCACUGGAAACGGUGAUUAAUACCGGAUACUCCUUCUUACUAUAAGGUAAGUCGGGAAAGUUUUUCGCUAAGGGAUCAGUCUAUGUCCCAUCAGUUUGUUGGUGAGGUAAUGGCUCACCAAGACUAUGACGGGUAUCUGGUUUGAGAGGAUGAUCAGACACACUGGAACUGAGACACGGUCCAGACUCCUACGGGAGGCAGCAGUGAGGAAUAUUGCACAAUGGAGGAAACUCUGAUGCAGCAACGCCGCGUGGAGGAUGACGCAUUUCGGUGUGUAAACUCCUUUUAAGAGGGAAGAUUAUGACGGUACCUCUUGAAUAAGCACCGGCUAACUCCGUGCCAGCCGCCGCAGUAA